GGAGGGGUGGCAGAGUGGACGAAUGCGGUGGUCUUGAAAACCGCUGACCCGCAAGGGUUCGUGGGUUCGAAUCCCACCCCCUCCGCCA
rnacentral:tRNA from 1 species